rnacentral:rRNA from 1 species
AUUGAACGCUGGCGGCAUGCCUUACACAUGCAAGUCGAACGGCAGCACGGGUGCUUGCACCUGGUGGCGAGUGGCGAACGGGUGAGUAAUACAUCGGAACGUACCUUAUCGUGGGGGAUAACGCAGCGAAAGUUGCGCUAAUACCGCAUACGCCCUGAGGGGGAAAGCGGGGGACCGUAAGGCCUCGCGCGAUUAGAGCGGCCGAUGUCUGAUUAGCUUGUUGGUGAGGUAAAAGCUCACCAAGGCGAUGAUCAGUAGCUGGUCUGAGAGGACGAUCAGCCACACUGAGACUGAGACACGGCCCAGACUCCUACGGGAGGCAGCAGUGGGGAAUUUUGGACAAUGGGGGCAACCCUGAUCCAGCAAUGCCGCGUGAGUGAAGAAGGCCUUCGGGUUGUAAAGCUCUUUUGUCAGGGAAGAAACAGCAGCUCUAACACAGUCUGCGAAUGACGGUACCUGAAGAAUAAGCACCGGCUAACUACGUG